rnacentral:rRNA from 1 species
AUGAAGCUGGAUUCGCUAGUAAUCGCGCAUCAGCCACGGCGCGGUGAAUACGUUCCCGGGCCUUGUACACACCGCCCGUCAAGCCAUGGAAGCCGGGAGUGCCUGAAGUGCGUGACCGCAAGGAGCGUCCUAAGGCAAUACCGGUGACUGGGGCUAAGUCGUAACAAGGUAGC